rnacentral:rRNA from 1 species
UACGUAGGGUGCAAGCGUUAAUCGGAAUUACUGGGCGUAAAGCGUGCGCAGGCGGUUUUGUAAGUCUGUCGUGAAAUCCCCGGGCUUAACCUGGGAAUGGCGAUGGAGACUGCAAGGCUAGAAUCUGGCAGAGGGGGGUAGAAUUCCACGUGUAGCAGUGAAAUGCGUAGAGAUGUGGAGGAACACCGAUGGCGAAGGCAGCCCCCUGGGUCAAGAUUGACGCUCAUGCACGAAAGCGUGGGGAGCAAACAGGAUUAGAGUACCCCAGUA